GUUGCCGCUAGAGGACUUAAAGUUUUUGCCCGCAGCCAGUCCAGGGUGCCCUGCCCUCGCCAGGUCCCUGGCGCCCCCAGCGAGGCGCCUCCACAAGCAUUCCCACGGCUUGGGGGGGAGGAGACGAGCAGGUUUGCAACCUCCCCCCACCACUUCCACGACCCAGCCAGGAAAGGGACCCUGGUGACCUCGCAUCCCAGUCACUGCCCCCUUUACCCUUCCUUCUCUUACACGGCGGACCUGUGGACCGUGGAGGAUUCUGUGAAUGCUGAGACCGGAGAGUAGAUGGAAGUGGUUCUAAAAAGCAGGUGAGUUUGGGGCGAGAGAAGCUGCCCUCCUGUCUCAGGCUGUGGGACACGCAAGGCUCAAAACUCAGCGCCGGGUGCCCCCAGAUGCUCCUUGCAGUGCGCGCCUCCUGCUCGCACAGAACCACUGCGUAGACUGCGCUCCGGGAUCUCCAUAGCGGGAGAGCGAAUUCACCCGCUCCCGCCCACCCAGCCUCAAGGAAUUUUCUGCGCUCCCUACGGUAUUGGGAAGCAGACAGAGACAGUCAUGGAGACAAGAUGAUGUGAAGAGACCCAGGGAGAAGAGAGCCACCUACAAGCUAAGGAGAGAGGCCAAGAACAGAUCUGUCCUCACAGCCCUCAGAAGGAAGGAACCAGCUCUGCCAACAUCUGGAUUUUGGACUUCUAGCUUCCAGAACUGUGUGACAAUACAGAUCUGUUGUUGAAGCCA